rnacentral:rRNA from 1 species
CAAUAGCGUAUAUUAAAGUUGUUGCAGUUAAAAGCUCGUAGUUGGAUUUCUGGUGGGGGUGGUUUGGUCCGGCUCUAAUGAGUUUUGCGCCUAUACGUCUCCGCCAUCCUUGGGGAAAACUUGCUUGGCAUUAAGUUGUCGAGUUUGGGAUCCCCAUCGUUUACUGUGAAAAAUUAGAGUGUUCAAAGCAGGCUUAUGCCGUUGAAUACAUUAGCAUGGAAUAAUAAGAUAGGACCUUGGUACUAUUUUGUUGGUUUGCGUACCUAGGUAAUGAUUAAUAGGGACAGUUGGGGGUAUUCGUAUUCAAUUGUCAGAGGUGAAAUUCUUGGAUUUAUGAAAGACGAACUUCUGCGAAAGCAUUUGCCAAGGAUGUUUUCAUUAAUCAAGAACGAAAGUUGGGGGCUCGAAGACGAUCAGAU